rnacentral:rRNA from 1 species
AUUGAACGCUGGCGGCAGGCCUAACACAUGCAAGUCGAGCGAGCGGCGGACGGGUGAGUAAUGUAUGGGGCUCUGCCCGCUAUAGGGGGAUAACUACUGGAAACGGUUGCUAAUACCGCAUACUAUCGGAUGAACCCAUAUGGGAUUAGGUAGUUGGUGAGGUAAAGGCUCACCAAGCCGACGAUCUCUAGCUGGUCUGAGAGGAUGACCGGCCGAACGGUGACUGUGACACGGCCCAGACGCCUAGGGGAGGACGAGGUGGGGAAUAUGGCGAUAUUGGGGCAACCUGACACAGCCAUGCCGCGUGAAUGAAGAAGGCCUUCGGGUUGUAAAGUUCUUUCGGUAGCGAGGCGUUAACUACAGAAGAAGCACCGGCUAACUCCGUGCCAGCAGCCGCGGUAAUAC